rnacentral:lncRNA from 1 species
AAACCCUAGAUUGGUGUGUCCCCGGCGGCCGGAGCCUUCUCCCGGAGCCGGAGGCUUCUUCUCUCCCUCUCUGCUUGUUUUUCCUUUGCCCUUCUGGUGGCUCACGACUUCCUAGUGAUAUGCUUGGUGGUUCUGGUGUUCGGAGUAAUCCCCUGUUACGGAUCUGACCGCGGCAGAUCUGGAAUGGGAAGGAGGAGGACGGAUCUCUGGAAUCCUGGCGAGCCGGGUGAAGAGGAGCCAUCAGGAUGGGUCGGCGUUUAGGGUAUGUUGGUGGCUCGGCGGUCGUUUUCAACCUUGACUCGUUUGGGUCUCAACAUAGAGAUGGAGGCGCGUGGCUCUGAGUUGUGUUCCCUGUCUCGUAGAUCUGGAGGUUUGGUGACUCAGAUGCGAAAGGAGAGGGGCGCGUGGUAGGGCGUCAGGAGCUCCCAAGCUUGGGGG